rnacentral:misc_RNA from 1 species
GUGAAGAACGUAGCGAAAUGCGAUAAGUAAUGUGAAUUGCAGAAUUCAGUGAAUCAUCGAAUCUUUGAACGCACAUUGCGCCCCUUGGUAUUCCGAGGGGCAUGCCUGUUCGAGCGUCAUUAUAACCCCUCAAGCUCAGCUUGGUGUUGGGGCCUGCCGCACGGGCAGCCCUUAAAAUCAGUGGCGGUGCCAUCUGGCUCUAAGCGUAGUAAUUCUUCUCGCUAUAGAGUCCCGGUGGAUGCUUGCCAUUAACCCCCAAUUUUCUAUGGUUGACCUCGGAUCAGGUAGGGAUACCCGCUGAACUUAAGCAUAUCAAUAAGCGGAGGA